rnacentral:rRNA from 1 species
GUGUCAGCAGCCGCGGUAAUACGGAGGGGGUUAGCGUUGUUCGGAAUUACUGGGCGUAAAGCGCGCGUAGGCGGACUAUUAAGUCAGGGGUGAAAUCCCGGGGCUCAACCCCGGAACUGCCUUUGAUACUGGUAGUCUAGAGUUCGAGAGAGGUGAGUGGAAUUCCGAGUGUAGAGGUGAAAUUCGUAGAUAUUCGGAGGAACACCAGUGGCGAAGGCGGCUCACUGGCUCGAUACUGACGCUGAGGUGCGAAAGUGUGGGGAGCAAACAGGAUUAGAUACCCUGGUAGUCCACACCGUAAACGAUGAAUGCCAGUCGUCGGGUAGCAUGCUAUUCGGUGACACACCUAACGGAUUAAGCAUUCCGCCUGGGGAGUACGGUCGCAAGAUUAAAACUUAAAGGAAUUGACGGGG